rnacentral:misc_RNA from 1 species
GAAAUGCGAUAAGUAAUGUGAAUUGCAGAAUUCAGUGAAUCAUCGAAUCUUUGAACGCACAUUGCGCCCGGCAGCAAUCUGCCGGGCAUGCCUGUCCGAGCGUCAUUUCUUCCCUCGAGCGCGGUUCGGCCCCUAGCGGGCCUGCCGCCGCCCGGUGUUGGGGAUCUGCGGGCGUAGAGCCCGCAGGCCCUUAAAUGAAGUGGCGGUCCCGCCGCGGCGCCCCCUGCGUAGUAGUAAAGCACCUCGCAUCGGGUCCCGGCGUAGGCCAGCCGUCGAACCUAUUACUUUUGAUGGUUUGACCUCGGAUCAGGUAGGGAUACCCGCUGAACUUAAGC